UUGUGAUGUGAAUUGGAUAGUCUAGUCUCAUGUUUUUGUUCUUUGGCAGUGCUUUUGUCUCAUCAUUUAACUGACAGUCAACAAGAGAACUGCUUUCAGCUUCGAAAACUGAUACUUAGUUUCUGUGCCACGCCUGCAUCUCUCUAAGUCACAGGUGUGUGUGAGUGACAGGAAGAAAAGCUCUGACUUGCUCGGAGCCACAUGCUGGUUUGCAUGUUUAACAGUGGUCAUCCGGCGGAGCGCACGUGACUACGCAACUGAGGUCCGCACGCUUGAAGCAGAAAGCGAUUGGAAUACAUUGGCACUGCUGGAUGCCUUUUUCUGGGAUUUUCAGACCCCAUAAAGGAUCAGAUGAUUCCUCUGGACACCCCUGACAAAUUCAACGACCUCAUCGCCUUGGAGGUGUGCAUCGACCGCCAGGACCGGCAGGAGGACAAGAGCCAUCAGCCAGGAAUGCACCACGCCAGCGCCGCAGUUUGAGGAGCCCAUGCGGCUGGGAGGCAGCCGCCUUCCUCCAGCUGAGAGGAUCAAACGUUAGCGACUGCGGUUGUGCAUCUACUGUGGACAGGCGAGUCAUCCCAUCUCUCGCUGUCCCGUCCGCUCUGACACUCCAUGCCCUCUGAGAGUGCUCUAGUGACCACUUCUGUGGGGAAUUUGUUUUUUUUGGACCCGGCGGCAGACAGCUGAUCUGCUGGCUCCACCACAUUCCUCUUGAUGUGGUCUUGGACCGGGGUCCACAAUGUUCUUCUGUUGUCUGGAAGGCCUUCUGCACGGCUUUGGGUGCAUCGCCCAGCUUGUCCUCUGGCUACCAUCCUCAGUCAAAUGGCCAACUGGAGCGGGCCAACCAGGAUUUGAAAGCCACCAUCCGCUGUGUGUGCGACCAGCAACCUGCCUCUUGGGCCCUCCAGCUUUCCAGUCUCUGGAGUCAAAGUCGGCAGUCCCUUCGCUAUCUGCCCACCUGCGCUGCGCCCGGCAGGUAUGGCACAACACUGGGGCGGCACUGGCACUCAUGUCAGAACGGAACCAGCACCUGGGCAACCACCACAGCAUGUUUUCCCUCGAUUACAAGCCUGGACAGAGGGUGUGGCUGCCAUCCCAGGACUUACCCCUUACACCGACUCAAAGGAGCUAUGGCCCAGGCUACACGCUGCUUUCCAUGUCUCCCUCCUCAAGCCUGUCACCUCCACCGACCUUAGCCCUCCAGAGGUGCCUCCUCCUUCUCCCAGGCAAGUCGUGGCCCGCCUAUAGAGUCAGCACCAUCUCAGGCGUGAGAAGUGGCAGGGGCUUCCAGUAUCUGAUCGACUGGAAUUGAUAGGGUCCCGAAGACCCCACAUUAUUUUUUAUGACCGCUUCGGAAAAGCCAGCAUACGGAGGCAAACUCUCUCAUCAAAACAUGCCUGCAUAUGAAGGGAAACGUGAUGUGUACGAAGAUUGCUGCAUGGAAUCCGCACAUACCUUGCCAGUUUCAACAGCCAUUCGGAGGUGGACUUGCUGGUGUGUUUUGGAUCAUUGUACUGUUGCAGAACCCAAGUUGGUUUCAGCCUGAGGUCACGAACAGAUGGCCGGACAUUCUUCUUCAGGAUUUUUGGUAAACAGCAAAAUUCAUGGUUCCGUUUAUCCAUUUUUUAAGUCUUCCAGCAGCAGCAAAACAACCCCAGACCAUCACACUACCACCACCAUAUUUUACUGUUGGUGUGAUGUUCUUUUUCUGAAGUGUGCCAUUACUUUUACGCCAAAUGUAUUGGGACACACACCUUCCAAAAAGUUAAUCUUUUGUCUGGCCAGACCACAGAGUAUUUUCCCGAAGGUCUGUGCUCUUGGUGUCAUUUUGGUUGGCCGGCUAUUCCAGGGAAGUUUCACCACUGUUUCAUGUUUUCGCCAUUUGUGGCCAAUGGAUCUCACUGUGGUUCACUGGAGGCCCACUUUUUCACACAGUGCAAUGUAGGUUUGGAAUUUUUUUCUCCCUUAAUAAUAAAAAGUUUCCUUUAAAAAACGCAUUUUGUAUUAAAUUGUGUUGUCAUUUACUAAUAUUUAGUUAUUUUUGAUGAUCUGUAACAUUUAUGUGAGAAAAGAAUGCAAAAAAAAAAGAAAACGGGAAGGGGGCAAACACUUUUUCACAGCACUGUAUAAUAAUUCUCUAUAAAAUUUAUUUUUUUGUUAAUAUUUUUGGGGUAUCUGGAACAAAUUAGCAUCUACUAUUAUUAUUUGUCAAUUAUUUAAUAAUUCAUCAUUUUUAUUAUUUAUUAUUUAGGUAUUUAUUAUUUUCCAUGCUUCGCUUUUUGUGUCUUUCUGUUUUUGUCUGACCUUUUCAUGACAAAAACCGAGGCGGCGCUGUAUAUCACUUAUUUGACUUCGCAGUACACUUAUUACAGCUUAUUAGAAACAUAUUAGAAGUUAAUUAUAUUUGGAUAUAUCUGUGUACACUUCUUUUUCAAAUUUCCGCUUCCUCUGCUACUUUAAAACAGGUAUUUUUUGUUUAUUGCAUGACAUAAUCUCGUUACAUGUGAUAAAGUAAGCACUUUAGAUAGAAGAGACUCAGAAAUGCACACUAAAUGCACAGACCAGACACAGUGGUGGUCCAGGCGUUGGACACAAGCGCCACAUGUUCUACAAUGUCCCGCCCGAGGUGGUCGCUUUAUUUUACACGCAGGACACCAGCUCCAUUUUUCACUUGCUGUGUGAAACUGUGAUUUAGGUCGUGUGCACGAAGACUGGACACUUAGAUGUGGCAAAUCCUUGACGGCUUCCUCAGUAGUCCUAACAAAUCCUGGACCUCUCUUAGUCCAAACCAGAGAGACAAUAGUCAGGAUCAUCCCGGUGGUCACGAUGCACAGCUGCAUCCGGUUCACAUCGCCACGAGGUAGAAUCUCAGUGAUGAAGAGGUAGUACAUGUAGGCCAGGGAGUAGAGAGCCAGGGUGAGGAAGAAGAGUGUGCGUCUCUUCCUCCUGUGGGUGGCGUAGUAGAGCCACAGCACCAGGCCUGGAAGAGCCGUCAGGAUCAUGAUACCUAGUAGGUAGUGCAGCGCCGCCACACGCAUCAGCAGAGGCAACAGAACCAGCGCAGGAACCAUGGAGAUCUCCAAGUUGUCAAUCAAGGCCCCCAGAAGGGCAGAGUGACAUCCGCUUUUUGGUGUCCUGUCUCGCAGCCAUCUACAUGGACACACACGUAGAUAGAUGAAUGGAUGGAAGGAUGGACGGAUGGACAGAUAGCCGGAGGUCAUCAUAAAUGAAUGGACAAUAGAUAGAUGAUGGAUAAAUGGAUGGCAGAAUGGACCAAUGACGGAUACAUGACCGAAUGGAUAGGGGGACAAAAGGGAGGAAGAAGACGGAUGGAUAAACAGACAGACGGAUGGACAGAUGGAUGGCGAUCAUGAAUAAAAUGGAUGAAAGACAGAUGAUGCGUGAAUGGACGAAUGAAUGAAUGGACGGAUGGAUAGAUUGGUGGAUAGAUGAGGAUAGAUAGACAGAUGAUGAUAGAUGGAUGGAUGAAUGGAUGGACACACAGAUGAAGGAUGAUAGAGAUGGUGAUCAUGGAUAAAUGGAUGAUUAGUGGAUAGAUGGAAGUUGGCAGAGUGAAUGGAUGGACAGAUUGAUGAAUAGAUAAAUGGCUAGACAGAUGGUCGUAGGAUGGUAAAUGGUUGGAUGAAGAAUGCUGAUCAUAAAUACAGACUAAUGGACAAAUGAUUGAUGAGUGAAUGAAAGGAUGGA